rnacentral:rRNA from 1 species
GAUGAACGCUGGCGGCGUGCCUAAUACAUGCAAGUCGAGCGAACGCACGAGAAGAUUGCUUCUCUGAUGUUAGCGGCGGUCGGGUGAGUAACACGUGGAUCACCAACCUAUAUGACUGGGAUAACUUCGGGAAUCCGCAGCUAAUACCGGAACAUAUUUUGAACCGCUUGGAUCAAAAGUGAAAGACGGUUUUGCCGUCUGUUAUAGAUGGAUCCGCGUUGCGUUAGCGAGUUGGUAAGGUAACGGCUUACCAAGGCAACGAUGCAUAGCCGACCUGAGAGGGUGAUCGGCCACAGUGAAUGAGACACACUCUCCAGUCUUCUACGGGAGGCAGCAGUAGGAUAUCGGCCGCAAUGCGCGAAAGCCUUACGGCGCAACGCCGCGUGAGUGAUGAGGGUCUUGGUAUCAUAAAACUCUGUUAUGAGGGAAAAACAUAUGUGUAAGUAACUGGGCACAUCUUGACGGUACAUAGACAGAAAGCCACGUCUAACUACG